rnacentral:rRNA from 1 species
GAUGAACGCUGGCGGCGUGCCUAAUACAUGCAAGUCGAGCGAACGGACGAGGAGCUUGCUUCUCUGAUGUUAGCGGCGGACGGGUGAGUAACACGUGGAUAACCUACCUAUAAGACUGGGAUAACUUCGGGAAUCCGGAGCUAAUACCGGAUAAUAUUUUGAACCGCAUGGUGCAAAAGUGAAAGACGGUCUUGCUGUCACUUAUAGAUGGAUCCGCGCUGCAUUAGCUAGUUGUUAAGGUAACGGCUUACCAAGGCAACGAUGCAUAGCCGACCUGAGAGGGUGAUAGCCCACCCUGGAACUGAGACACGGUCCAGAGUCCUGCGGUAGGCAGCAGUAGGGAAUCUUACGCAAUGGGCGAAAGCCUGACGGAGCAACGCCGCGUGAGUGAUGAAGGUCUUCGGAUCGUAAAACUCGGUUAUUAGGGAAGAACAUAUGUGUAAGUAACUGUGCACAUCCUGACGGUACCUAAUCAGAAAGCCACGGCUAACUACGUG